rnacentral:rRNA from 1 species
GACGAACGCUGGCGGCGUGCUUAACACAUGCAAGUCGAACGGUGAAGCCCUUCGGGGUGGAUCAGUGGCGAACGGGUGAGUAACACGUGAGCAACCUGCCCCUGGCUCUGGGACAACCACUGGAAACGGUGGCUAAUACCGGAUACGACCCGCCUCGGCAUCGAGUGUGGGUGGAAAGUUUUUCGGCUGGGGAUGGGCUCGCGGCCUAUCAGCUUGUUGGUGAGGUGAAGGCUCACCAAGGCGACGACGGGUAGCCGGCCUGAGAGGGCGACCGGCCACACUGGGACUGAGACACGGCCCAGACUCCUACGGGAGGCAGCAGUGGGGAAUAUUGCACAAUGGGCGAAAGCCUGAUGCAGCGACGCCGCGUGAGGGAUGACGGCCUUCGGGUUGUAAACCUCUUUCAGCUCCGAAGAAGUGAAAGUGACGGUAGGAGCAGAAGAAGCACCGGCUAACUACGUG